UUUCCUCGACUGAGAUCUUCUUCCCCUUCCAUUUUCUAGAAACCCUAGCUCUAUCUCCGCAAUCUCCACAAUCUCCAUCGCCCCCUUCACCUAUCUCCUUCCAUCAUCCUGGAUUUUCAGAUCGUCAAUCCCCGUUUUUCUUCAAGAGGAUGUUGUUUUAUGGUGAUCAAAGGCCACGUUCGAGGAUUUUGAGAAGGAGUCCGACAUUGAUGCAUUCGAAUGUGAUAAUCGAUUGUUUUCUAUGGUUUUGUUAUUAAUUUUGCUAUUUUUGGUCAGUUUAACUCACUACCUCCUUCAUUUUCAACCCUAGCUAUCCGCUCUCAUGUGACGAAUCGGUUGAUUCUUAAUUCGCCUCUUCAACAAUCAGCACCCAGGUUCUUCAUGAUUAUACUCUCUCAAACAAAUUCUCCGCUGCGAAAACCGUUUGAACCCUCGAAUCUCAGGUAUUGGGGAAUCUAAUUGGCAAUGUCAGUGAGAAAAGCGACGAGGAUAAUGCUUCUCUUAAAACUUUGCGAGAUGCAAGUAUGAAAACAAGGAUGGUAAAGGAAGCAUAUGACAUCGAGAAGCAUCAUAUAUAGUGGAUAGAAGGCUAUGAUAUAUGUUCAACAAAUGGCAUGCCCAAUAAUGAUGGACGGGUAACUAUGAGAAGGUUAUGGAAUUGUACAAUGUCCCGAGGCUUAGCCGUAACUCCUUUCCUCUUCUAACUCCCCCAAGAUCUGAAAAUGAUAAUAGCACUAUCGUAUGUCGCCUGACUUAUUGCUUAAAUAUCAUGUUAUUAAUGCUAAAUAAACUACUACCUGUUGCAACUUGCAAGUUUUCAGUUCUUUACUAGCUUUUUCCUAUUAGUGUAAACAGAAUUAAAACUUUUCUUAUAGAUGUUACAUCCUUUAUCUCUAAUUGUAUCUAAUGGGAAUUGUACUUCAGAAAACAUAUUUGCAAAGAUACAUUUCAACCAAAUGUACCCCAAAAGUAAAACAGUGAGGUUACUUGUUAUUCUCCCCUGACUUGUACUCCUUGAAGUUGUAACUCCUUGUUCCUUUGCCGGAUAUCGUUUUUUUGUUACUGGCUUACUGCUUCUUGCCUUUUGUCUCUACGGUCUGGAUCGACCACCCUAAAAAAACUAUUGAGGUCAUCAACUUAGUGAAUGAGUAUAGAUUAUUACAAUUACUUUUUGAUCAUCGCCUUUUAAUAAAUAGAUAUAAGAGACUAACAGACAAACAAAAUCACAAUUUGGUGGGUUGUGUUUUGUAUUGGUAAAUAUGCCCCCAAUUUUUUUUGUCAUUUUCCUUAAGAAUAAU